AAUAUUGGACAAUGGGGGCAACCCUGAUCCAGCCAUGCCGCGUGUGUGAAGAAGGUCUUCGGAUUGUAAAGCACUUUAAGUUGGGAGGAAGGGCUUUAGGCUAAUACCCUGAAGUUUUGACGUACACACAGAAUAAGCACCGGCUAAACUUGUGCCCGCAGCCGCGGUAAUACAGAGGGUGCAAGCGUUAAUCGGAAUUACUGGGCGUAAGGCGCGCGUAGGUGGUUCAGUAAGAUGGGUGUGAAAUCCCCGGGCUUAACCUGGGAACUGCUGUCAUAACUGCUAGGCUAGAGUACGGUAGAGGGUAGUGGAAUUUCCUAUGUAGCGGUGAAAUGCGUAGAUAUAGGAAGGAACACCAGUGGCGAAGGCGACUACCUGGACUGAUACUGACACUGAGGUGCGAAAGCGUGGGGAGCUAGC
rnacentral:rRNA from 1 species